AUGGAACAGGAUGGCUCUGCCAUAGAAAAAAACCAAGAGCUCUUCAUGAACACUGGGUGCUCAUUAGACACAGAGGCUUCAUUAAUGAGGAUUACUGUCAGAAACCAUCACCAAGAAGCAUCCUGUCCAGCAAGAGCCUACAUUCGUUGGACUCCCCAAAGUCUUCGAACAACAGUGCCUGUGCUACAAAUACCCACGUCUGGGUCCAGUCUUCCUUCCUUACAGAGAAGAGGAAAAUGAGAGAGAGCUUAAGUGAUUUUCCCAGGAUCAUUCAACCAGUAAGUGCAUCUCGCACUUUUUCCUGUGACUUGGAUAAAAAUCGUAGAUGGCAGGCUCAUCGAAUAUUCAAACAAGUAUCUAAGGCCACUCCCCAGCAGGAUACUAGAAGGCCAGCUCCUCAGGGAAGAGAUGCAUAGAAAGGCCACCAGACCAAGGAAAGGAGCCUAGGUUGGGAUGAGCAAAUGGAAACAAGAACCUACAAAAUAAAAUAAAAUAACUGCUCUCCUGCA
rnacentral:lncRNA from 1 species